rnacentral:rRNA from 1 species
AUGGGGCAGUACCCUCCAGGAGCAUUUGGAGCAGGCUCAAGUAGCAGUCCAGCUUCUCCUGCUGGAUGCAUACCUUUUCUUGGAUCUGCUAGAGGCACUAGUUCAGAGGAGAUGAGAACAGUCCAGUUGGAUUUAGUUCUCCCAUGUCACCUGCAUAUCAAGUGGAUGAAGAUCCGGCUGUCAAUAAUCAAGAUGGCACUUGGGUGCACAAUUCAUGUGAUCCGAUUGAUGGAAACUCCAACAGGGCAGAGACCUAUUGGAAGGAAGUCGCAGCAGAGUACAACAAAUAUGCAACGAAAGAGCAGAAGAAAACAGUUGGGCAAUGCAAGAACCACUGGACCAAGACCACAAAGAAGGUUACAAAGUUCAAUGGUAUCUACAAUGUUGAAAAAAGUACAUGGCCUAGUGGGAGCGAUGACAAGCAACUUAUGGAGAGGGUACGUGCCAAAUACAUGA